rnacentral:rRNA from 1 species
AUACGGAGGAUGCAAGCGUUAUCCGGAUUUAUUGGGUUUAAAGGGUGCGUAGGCGGGACUGUAAGUCAGGGGUGAAAUACUGCAGCUUAACUGUAGCAUUGCCUUUGAAACUGCCGUUCUUGAGUACAGUUGAGGUAGGCGGAAUGUGGUGUGUAGCGGUGAAAUGCAUAGAUAUACCACAGAACGCCGAUUGCGAAGGCAGCUUACUAAGCUGUUACGGACGCUGAGGCACGAAAGCGUGGGGAUCAAACAGGAUUAGAUACCCUGGUAGUCCACGCUGUAAACGAUGAUUACUGGUUGUUAGCGAUAUAUAGCUAGUGACUGAGCGAAAGCAUUAAGUAAUCCACCUGGGGAGUACGUCGGCAACGAUGAAACUCAAAGGAAUUGACGGGG